UACGGAAGGCAGCAGUGGGGAAUAUUGCACAAUGGGCGCAAGCCUGAUGCAGCCAUGCCGCGUGUAUGAAGAAGGCCUUCGGGUUGUAAAGUACUUUCAGCGGGGAGGAAGGCGAUGCGGUUAAUAACCGCGUCGAUUGACGUUACCCGCAGAAGAAGCACCGGCUAACUCCGUGCCAGCAGCCGCGGUAAUACGGAGGGUGCAAGCGUUAAUCGGAAUUACUGGGCGUAAAGCGCACGCAGGCGGUCUGUUAAGUCAGAUGUGAAAUCCCCCGGGCUUAACCUGGGAACUGCAUUUUGAAACUGGCAGGCUUGAGUCUUGUAGAGGGGGUAGAAUUCCAGGUGUAGCGGUGAAAUGCGUAGAGAUCUGGAGGAAUACCGGGUGGCGAAGGCGGGCCCCUGGGACAAAGACUGACGCUCAGGGUGCGAAAGCGUGGGGAGCGAAACAGGAUUAGGAUACC
rnacentral:rRNA from 1 species